AAUUUUGAUACAAUAAAAUAGUUAUAGUAACAAAAAGUUCUGACACUAAUUUCCUUUUUACCAUCAAAAUUAUUUCUGAUACUAUUAAAUACUUAAGUAACAAAAAUUUCCGAUACUAAAUCACCUUAUGAAUAUCUUAUAAAAAAAUUGGCGCUUUUACAAAAAAAAGAAAAUAAAAAGAUGGCCACAUUAAAAUAUUAGAGAAAUUUGAAACAUUUUCACUUAUAAAAUUUCACCUCGGUAAUGUAACCAAAACCAAACCCAAAAGAAAAGUCCUUCCUUUUAUCAUUUCAUCAGUAAAAACAACAAAGAACACUCUUAGUCUCUCUCCUCACUCUAUUUCACGAAGCUAGGGUUCUAGCAAAAUCUGCUCAAAUUUACAAAAAUUAUCAUUCAUCUACUCAAAUUUACAAAAAAAAAAAAUCAAACAUUACGCUCGAAGUUGUUGCUCAUUUGUAAAAUAUUACAAGAUUGAACCUCGUAUUAUUCUCUAAUGGUUGCGCGUCAAGCGGGAUCUGCUGGGUUUUGCAAUUGAAAUUCACUAGCGGUGAUUAUUUCUAGCUAUUUUGAUAUUAUAAACAAUCAAAGGUGUUAAGCUCCUCAGAUCAACUGGUGUUGUUGUUAUAUUUCGGGUAGCGUUGGUGAAAAUCUAUACUUUGCGGAUUAAGUUCUUGUUGGUUCAACUUCGAGCUAACAAUCAGAUUUUAGUGCAAAAAGCCCAAUUUUAUCUGGUCGCGCAUAUGUUUUUGAAGAAAACGAGAUGAGGUCAUAACCCUUUUCAUUUUGAAGAAACUAUCAUGAUCUAUGUACAUUAACUAUUGAAUUGUGGUGAUUUUAACACCCUUUGGAUGUGCAUUACACAUCAAUUUUUUGUACUAAAAUUGUGACGAUAAAUAAAAUAUAAUGCAAGUUAUCCUUUUGGUAUUUAUAUAUUAAUA